rnacentral:rRNA from 1 species
AGAGUUUGAUCCUGGCUCAGAAUCAACGCUGGCGGCGUGCCUAACACAUGCAAGUCGAACGAGAAAGUGGAGCAAUCCAUGAGUAAAGUGGCGCACGGGUGAGUAACACGUGACUAACCUACCUUUUAGUGGGGGAUAACUUAGGGAAACCUGGGCUAAUACCGCAUAACACCUACGGGUCAAAGCAGCAAUGCGCUGGAAGAGGGGGUCGCGGUCGAUUAGUUAGUUGGCAGGGUAAUGGCCUACCAAGACUGUGAUCGAUAUCCGGCCUGAGAGGGCGCACGGACACACUGGAACUGAAACACGGUCCAGACUCCUACGGGAGGCAGCAGUGGGGAAUUUUGCGCAAUGGGGGAAACCCUGACGCAGCAACGCCGCGUGGAGGAUGAAGUCCCUUGGGACGUAGACUCCUUUCGAUCGGGACGAUUAUGACGGUACCGGAAGAAGAAGCCCCGGCUAACUUCGUGCCAGCAGCCGCGGUAAUACGAGGGGGGCAAGCGUUGUUCGGAAUUAUUGGGCGUAAAGGGUGCGUAGGCGGUUCGGCAAGUCUUGUGUGAAAUCUUCAGGCUCAACUUGAAGUCUGCACAAGAAACUGCCGGGCUUGAGUAUGGGAGAGGUGAGUGGAAUUUCCGGUGUAGCGGUGAGAUGCGUAGAUAUCGGAAGGAACACCUGUGGCGAAAGCGGCUCACUGGACCAUUACUGACGCUGAUGCACGAAAGCUAGGGGAGCAAACAGGAUUAGAUACCCUGGUAGUCCUAGCCCUAAACGAUGAUCGCUUGGUGUGGCGGGUAUCCAACCCUGCCGUGCCGCAGCUAACGCGUUAAGCGAUCCGCCUGGGGAGUACGGUCGCAAGGCUGAACUCAAGGAAUUGACGGGGGCCCGCACAGCGGUGGAGCAUGUGGUUUAUUCGACGCACGCGAGAACCUUACCUGGGCUCGAAAUGUAGUGGACUGGGGUAG